rnacentral:rRNA from 1 species
AGAAUCAACGCUGGCGGCGUGCCUAACACAUGCAAGUCGCACGAGAAAGGGGAGCAAUCCCUGAGUAAAGUGGCGCACGGGUGAGUAACACGUGAAUCAUCUACCUCCGAGUGGGGAAUAACCUAGAGAAAUCUGGGCUAAUACCGCAUAACACUUACGAGUCAAAGCAGCAAUGCGCUUGGAGAGGAGUUCGCGGCCGAUUAGUUAGUUGGCGGGGUAAUGGCCCACCAAGACGAUGAUCGGUAUCCGGCCUGAGAGGGCGCACGGACACACUGGAACUGAAACACGGUCCAGACUCCUACGGAGGCAGCAGUGGGGAAUUUUGCGCAAUGGGGAAACCCUGACGCAGCAACGCCGCGUGGAGGAUGAAAUAUCUUGGUAUGUAAACUCCUUUCGAUGGGGAAGAUUAUGACGUACCCAUAGAAGAAGCCCGGCUAACUUCGCGCCAGCAGCCGC